GACGAACGCUGGCGGCGUGCCUAAUACAUGCAAGUUGAGCGAUGAAGCUUGGUGCUUGCACCAAUUUGAAGAGCAGCGAACGGGUGAGUAACGCGUGGGGAAUCUGCCUUUGAGCGGGGGACAACAUUUGGAAACGAAUGCUAAUACCGCAUAACAACUUUAAACAUAAGUUUUAAGUUUGAAAGAUGCAAUUGCAUCACUCAAAGAUGAUCCCGCGUUGUAUUAGCUAGUUGGUGAGGUAAAGGCUCACCAAGGCGAUGAUACAUAGCCGACCUGAGAGGGUGAUCGGUCACAUUGGGACUGAGACACGGCCCAAACUCCUACGGGAGGCAGCAGUAGGGAAUCUUCGGCAAUGGACGAAAGUCUGACCGAGCAACGCCGCGUGAGUGAAGAAGGUUUUCGGAUCGUAAAACUCUGUUGGUAGAGAAGAACGUUGGUGAGAGUGGAAAGCUCAUCAAGUGACGGUAACUACCCAGAAAGGGACGGCUAACUACGUG
rnacentral:rRNA from 1 species